rnacentral:rRNA from 1 species
AUGGCGUUCAGCCGCGCCCAGAUGCUCGCUGCCUUCACCUUGGGCUUUCUUCUCAUGGCCUUCUGUGUGGAUGGUCGGGUAUGCACGUCCCCUAGCAAGUUGUACAAAAGGAGCCCUUGCAAGAACAUGGGCUGCACCGCGGCCUGUCACAAAGAGCACUUCAAGGGUGGGUACUGUGCCACUAAGAAGACAAUUGUUGGCGAUGAGCUCAACGAGGACAACAACGACAACUUCUUUCACAAACGACCUAAGAAAAAGACAUGCGUAUGUACACUUCAAUGCAGUAAAGCCCCACCACCACCGUCAGAACCUGACGUGCCAGAGCCACCGGGUGAACCUGAGGUGCCAGAUCCUAAGAAGAAGCCGCCGCCGCCAUAUGUAUGUGAUGUGCCGGAGCCGCCCUCGGGAGAAAACAAGAAGAAGCUAGUGGCAGCUGCUGACCAGUGA